rnacentral:rRNA from 1 species
GAUGAACGCUGGCGGUAUGCUUAACACAUGCAAGUCGAACGGACUCUUCGUAGUUAGUGGCGGACGCGUGAGUAACGCGUGAGAAUCUGGCUUUGGGUUCGGGACAACCACUGGAAACGGUGGCUAAUACCGGAUGUGCCGAGAGGUAAAAGAGAAAGUGCCUGAAGAUGAGCUCGCGUCUGAUUAGCUAGUUGGUGAGGUAAAGGCUCAGCAAGGCAGCGAUCAGUAGCUGGUUUGAGAGGAUGACCAGCCACACUGGGACUGAGACACGGCCGAGACGCCUACGGGAGGCAGCGGUGGGGAAUUUUCCGCAAUGGGCGAAAGCCUGACGGAGCAAUACCGCGUGAGGGAAGAAGGCUCUUGGGUUGUAAACCUCUUUUCUUAGGGAAGAACAAACUGACGGUACCUAAGGAAUAAGCAUCGGCUAACUCCGUG